rnacentral:rRNA from 1 species
CUGGCGGCGUGCCUAAUACGAUGCAAGUCGAGCGCGGAAGCAAACUGAAGCCUUCGGGCGGACGUUGUGGAACGAGCGGCGGAUGGGUGAGUAACGACGCGGGCAACCUGCCUGUAAGAUUGGGAUAACUUGCGGAAACGUGAGCUAAUACCAAUAAAGCUUUUCAUCCCCUGAUGAGAAGAUGAAAGAUGGCUCCGGCUAUCACUUACAGAUGGGCCCGUGGCGCAUUAGCUAGUUGGUGGGAUAAAAGCUUACCAAGGCAACGAUGCGUAGCCGACCUGAGAGGGUGAUCGGCCACACUGGGACUGAGACACGGCCCAGACUCCUGCGGGAGGCAGCAGUAGGGAAUCUUCCGCAAUGGACGCAAGUCUGACGGAAGCAACGCCGCGUGAGUGAUGAAGGUUUUCGGAUCGUAAAACUCUGUUGUUAGGGAAGAACAAGUACCGUUCGAAUAGGUCGGUACCUUGACGGUACCUAACCAGAAAGCCCCGGCUAACUACGUGCCAGCCGCCGC